CUUUCCCUUUCAGUUAUUAUUUUAACCUUUACGAGCCUAAUGGGCUGCUCAGGCAAGUAGAUGGAUGUGAUUUUUUUGCCAGCAGUCACUAAUACAAACAGGCCACAUCACAAUGAUAAGCCCUGUGUGUGAUCCAUGGGCUUCUGCAGCUCCCAGUCACCUGAGGACUACUCCCAGACAAAGGUGUCCCAGAGUGAAGCAGGAUGAGACAAGGGGCCAUUGAGUGCUAACAAUGAGCUACCCACCCUUCCUGGCUAUAGACUACUUCCUCAAAGAGCUUCCCCUGAUGGGGGCAGGAAACAAGGGGGCAAAGAAAUUCCAAAGAGGGUUAUCCUUGCCCUCAGGAGUGCCUGUGCCUGCCAUGAUAAUUUCAAUCUACUACAUUAUGGGAUCUGGAGCUUCUUCUGGCACUUGUAUUAGUAUUAUCCCAUUCUGAGAUGGUGUAUUUGCCUUUCUCUGUGUUAUAGAUUUGGACUGAAGGAAACCUCAGAAAGCCUAUUGUACUUUGGCUCCUCUCUGAGAAGGUCAUAAUAAUCCUCAUUCUCUUACAUAUUCUGAAAGAAGCUAAAGAGAAAAUCUACAAAUAAGACAAAGAUUUAGCUGGCCCAAUAUGUGUGGUCCCUGAAAUAUAAUGGUCGCCGAAAUUGUGAAAUUAGAGUCUGUUUUAUUGUAUCCAAAUAACCAAGAUCUUUAACUUAGAUGAAAGUGAAAUUGGGGGGUUCCCCUAGAUUCUGAUGAUCCUUUAUCCUUCUGUUACCUUUUAUAAAGUACUCACAAGGGUCACGUAUGAAGCAGAUCAAUCUUGUUCUCUUCUAGCCCAGAUUCUAUAAUGAAAGAGAAAGCAUAAGGGAUGUUAUUACCUGAGAAUGAUUC
rnacentral:lncRNA from 1 species